CUAAGAGAUUUGUUGAAAUUGCUAAUGUAUCAGUAACUCCUAAUCCACUGAUUCGUGGGAAAAAGUAUCAUUUGCAAGGAAAUUUUCAUUUUAAAAGAACCAUACAAUGGGGUAUACUACAUAUAAAAAUGACAUAUAACUUCAAGAACUAUACUAAUAUUACUUUCAUCGAUGAAAAAUUUAAUUUUUGUGACUUCCUUGUUGAUUUAUUUAAGUUACAUUGUCCAAUAACACCAGGAAUAUAUCAAUUGAAUUAUACAUGUAAUGGUACUGAUACAUUACCAAAGCUCCUUUGGCCAGGUCAGUAUUAUGGCAAAGGUACUGCAUACAAUGAAAAAGGAGAGCAAAUGAUGUGUAUAAGUAAAGAAGUCACUGUCAAGUAAAACUGUUUAUUAAUGACUUGAA